rnacentral:rRNA from 1 species
AUUGAACGCUGGCGGCAGGCCUAACACAUGCAAGUCGAACGAGUGGCGGACGGGUGAGUAAUGUCUGGGAAACUGCCUGAUGGAGGGGGAUAACUACUGGAAACGGUAGCUAAUACCGCAUACCAUCAGAUGUGCCCAGAUGGGAUUAGCUUGUUGGUGGGGUAACGGCCCACCAAGGCGACGAUCCCUAGCUGGUCUGAGAGGAUGACAAGCCCAACUGGAAGUGGAACACGGUCCAGGCUCCUACGGGAGGCAGCAGUGGGAAAUAUUGCGCAAUGGGCGCAAGCCUGAUGCAGCCAUGCCACGUGUAUUAAGAAGGCCUUCGGGUUGUAAAGGACUUUCAGCGGGAAGUCGUUACCGCAGAAGAAGCACCGGCUAACUCCGUGCAAGCAGCCGCGGUAAUAC